GUGAAGAUGAAGGGGGUUGACACGUUAGCUCGGAGGUGGUUCUGGGUUUUUUUGCCACGUGUAUUAGAGGGAAGGUUUGUUUAUUAAUUCUUGUCGUAACGGGAAAGAAAGAAAAAAAAUGCGGCUUUAAAAUAAGCUUGCUAGGUGUUCGAUGAAAGUUCUGAGCUAGGCUUGUUGCUAUGAAACCGCAUUCAGAAAGAAUGGAGUUGGGCCACGGCCACGGGUUAUUUUACAUUUUCACUACUCGGGCCAAUUGUAAUUUUCUUUCGUUUUCAGACAGUUUAUUUUAUUACAAGACGGAUAAAACUAUUACUAUUUAUUUAUAUGUAAUUAUGUACUGUAUUAUUAAAACAAAAUCACAUAACUCAUUAAAUAAUUUGUUUUAA